UUAAGGGAGGUGACAGAAGAGAGUGAGCACAAAUGGUGUUUUCUUGCAUGAUAUAAUCCAUGCUUGAAGCUAUAGGUGCUCACUCUCUAUCUGUCACCCCCACCUCUC
rnacentral:pre_miRNA from 1 species